rnacentral:lncRNA from 1 species
UCUAGAAUUAGAUCCUCAGCUAAUAAUUUUAUAAUUGGCCCUCAAACGAUUAACAUGCAUCUUACAUUCACUGCAAUUGAAAAUGCAUACAUUUAUACAAAGGAGUUUGAAGACACUAGAAUUGCAACUUUGAUGAAUAGAAUUGAAGUCUUAGAAUUCGAAAGACAUCUAAUUUAACCAAGUGCUAGCACUCUUGUGCACUAGAUGCGAUGCACCAGAUCAUGUUG